CUGCUCAGUAACACGUGGAUAAUCUGCCCUCAGGUGAGGAAUAAUCCCGGGAAACUGGGGCUAAUGCCUCAUAGGAGACGGGUGCUGGAAUGCUCUGUCUCCGAAAGGUCCGCCGCCUGAGGAUGAGUCUGCGUCCGAUUAGGUUGUUGUUGGGGUAACGGCCCAACAAGCCUUUGAUCGGUACGGGUUGUGGGAGCAAGAGCCCGGAGAUGGAUUCUGAGACAUGAAUCCAGGCCCUACGGGGCGCAGCAGGCGCGAAAACUUUACAAUGCGAGCAAUCGUGAUAAGGAAACCCUGAGUGCCUGUCAAUGCAGGCUGUUCUGGUGUCUAACACACACCAGGAGAAAGGGCGGGGCAAGACCGGUGCCAGCCGCCGCGGUAAUACCGGCUGCUCGAGUGAUAGCCACUUUUACUGGGCUUAAAGCGUUCGUAGCUUGGUCGUUAAGUCUCUGGGGAAAUCUAUUGGCUCAACCAAAAGGCGUCUCAGGGAAACUGACGAUCUUGGAACCGGGAGAGGUAAGACGUACUUCGGGGGUAGGAGUGAAAUCUUGUAAUCCCCGAGGGACGACCGAUGGCGAAGGCAUCUUACCAGAACGGCUUCGACAGUGAGGGACGAAAGCUGGGGGAGCAAACCGGAUUAGAUACCCGGGUAGUCCCAGCCGUAAACGAUGUGCGUUAGGUGUGUCAGUGACCACGAGUCGCUGAGGUGCCGAAGGGAAACCGUGAAACGCACCGCCUGGGAAGUACGGUCGCAAGGCUGAAACUUAAAGGAAUUGGCGGG
rnacentral:rRNA from 1 species